rnacentral:lncRNA from 1 species
UGGCUACGAAAGGCUGAAGUGGUGCCUUCAAGAUGGAGACGAGUCCUUAUGGGAAGUUUGUCUUCUCUGUCGCAAAAGAAGUUGUCAAAGGUAAAGAAAUCUUGGAGAUUUGCCUCGUAAUCUUUGUUUAGCUUUGAAAUCAAUAUGUAUGCAAGAGCUUUCCUCGUUUUGUGAAUUGUUAGCAGGUAAUCUUUGAGUCUAAGUGAUCACAAUUUAAUUGGAGUUUAAUAGAUUUGACAAAUUACGUUCUAGAGUAUUGCAUAUAAAAAAUUAGACAAAUUAUAUGGAUUUUUCCCAUGCUUCUCAAAAUGAAAGGUUUUUUUUCUGCUAAAACAAAUGUAUCAUGCAUUACAGGUAUGGAUAUAACCAAAAAAAAUCAAAAAAUAAUAAAUUUCGGAGCGUACCAAGUAACCCUCUCUUCCACCUAAAGAGUAUCUCUCCCACUCAAAGAGUAUCUCUGGAGUGAUUGGACAUAUAGGAGGCUACCAAUUUGCUGUCCCAUUGGCUUUCAAUAUACAUACUUUGCCUGCAAGGCCAUCUCACC